AUGCGGUGUGUAAGGUCUGCCCGCUUCGCUGUAAAACUCAAUGGUGGCCUUUCCGAUCUUUUUCUUCCUACCCGAGGGCUCAGACAAGGAGAACCACUAUCGCUGUACUUGUUCUUACUUUGUGUGGAAGGUUUUUCUGCCCUUCUCAAGAUAGCCCAACAGGAGAAAUUGAUCAAUGGAGUGUCAUUUGGGCGCACUGGCCCCCAUGUGACGCACCUUCUCUUCGCCGAUGACAGUAUUGUGUUUCUGGAAGGGUCCUGGGGCAACUUGGUGGCCCUACGGAACAUUCUUCAGGCUUACGAGCUCGCGUCGGGGCAAAGGGUGAACUUACAGAAGUCAUCCAUAUUCUUUGGAAAGGGUUGCUCGGAGGAUAGCAAGAAUGAGUUGAAGGAAGUAAUUGGAAUUCAAUCUGAAGCGUUAAGUGAGAAAUACCUCGGCCUUCCGACGGCGGUAGGUCGAUCUAAGGAUGGCACCUUUAAAUACAUCCGUGAGAGUUCUAAAGGAAAAGUGAUGGGAUGGAAGGGCCAAUGA
rnacentral:rRNA from 1 species